rnacentral:pre_miRNA from 1 species
AUUUGUAUCACUUGGGGAUCUUGUUAAAACCUAGGUUCUGAUUCUUUAGGGUGGGGGUGAGUCCUGAGAUUCUUCAUUUCUAACAAGCUCCCAGGCGAUGUCAGU